rnacentral:misc_RNA from 1 species
GAAAAAAGUAAACCCAAGAAAAAAAAGUAAACCCAAGGAUCAAAAGUGCAAACUAAGGUGGGAAACCAACUUGGCAGAAGCGUAAAGACCUAGGGAGAUUGUUGGAGAAGAAAUCGGCUAGAAAAAACUCCUAGAAACAGCAACAUGAACUAGUGCGUGGGAUUGGCGGCAAAACUUGUGAUAGCGCAUGCGACCACGAGUGACGUCAAAAGGUGAAGAUUUUUCAGGAACAAGUCGAUCGGCAAACGCUCUUUCCU